AACAUUGAAUUGUUCCCUGUGGAGAUAUUUAAUCUUUUCUGUGUAGCUGUCCGCUUAGGAACAAAAAGAGAGGCAGCUUCUUGCAUGACUCAGCUUUCGGCUAAAUUGUUUUUCGUCUUGGCAGAGUGAAUUGGGGUCCCAAGUUUUUAUUUUCCUUCUUUCUUUCUUC